CCGGCGACCGGCGGACGGGUCGUAACGCGUAUGUAACCUACCUUUGACAGGGGGAUAACAUCGAGAAAUUGGUACUAAUACCCCAUAACAUCACCGGAGGCAUCUUCGGUGGUUGAAAACUCAGGUGGUCAGAGAUGGACAUGCGUUGUAUUAGCUAGUUGGUGAGGUAACGGCUCACCAAGGCGACGAUACAUAGGGGGACUGAGAGGUCAACCCCCCACAUUGGUACUGAGACACGGACCAAACUCCUACGGAAGGCAGCAG
rnacentral:rRNA from 1 species